UGGGGUUCAUCAUAAUCUUAGACAUAAUAAGAUGCAUCUAAAAAGAUGAAUUAAUAUCUUAUUUUAUUAUCAAAUAACAAAUAUCAUUUCAUGAGUUUGGAAAAUUACGAAGAAAAAUCCCAUCACAAUAUACUUACGAUUGGCUUUUAGGACACUCUUCUUUCAAUCUCUCACUUGAACUAAAGUCAAUCACCUUUGUAU
rnacentral:lncRNA from 1 species